UUAGCGGACUAUUUACCAGGAUUUUAAGGUGGUUGAAGCUGCCGUUGAAGCUACGUGCGGUGCGAUGUGGAGUCAUGGUGUUUUUUAUAGAAAGAAAAUAACCGCGUUUGGACGGGAUGCUGCAAUCUUGCUAUAAUGCGAUACUGUUUAAUUAUAGCAUCAGCUUUUGAUGGUAGGGGCGGUAGGGGGACCGUAUGAGCUAUUUCAUAGGAACGAUAGCUACCUCCCCUAUCGAAUGGAGCUACCCCUUAGGCCUACCGACUACAGCGUAGCUCCAGGUUUAUAGUUCGUGGGAAUUUUCCAUGGUUAGGGACCAAGACGUAUGAACUACCCCGUAGUUUUAUGUAGUAUCCUGUUGGGUGGGUUUAAGACGUUAAAGUUAUCCUCCUAAUUUUAUAAAGAGAAAAAAAAAAUAGCAACACGCGCGGAUUUCAUUAUUCACUUGGUAUGGGAAGUUGCAAUCUUGCGAUAGUGUUUAUUUAUAGCGAAUAUUGCGAUAAGGUACUUUUUAUACCAUUUCAUUUCCAUAUUAAUACCGGUACCUAUGGGGGUUUUUAUUGUGUAUAUAUCUUUAUGCGUAAAGUUCGAAAAUCUCCCUUAAAAAGGCGCGAAAUAUGGUGAUUGGAAAUGUGUAUAUCUUUACGGAAGUACGUUCUGUAUAAAUUCGACGUUCCACAACAUUUAAAACGGUGUACAAUUAUGGAGCAUCCGCAAUCUGAUUUCAAAAAGUGCAUGUGGGUAUACACCUACUUAGACAGGCGCCUUCUUAUAUACCUCAGGGAUACGUGUCCUUGCGCGCAUAAUUUGCAGUUUAAUGAAAGCGUGACAUUUUAUUGUAUUUAUUCAGCGAUUAUUUUAUAUGGGCGUUUAUAAGUAAUAAGCUGACAGCAGAAAACAUAGUCUACAUCAGAGUUGGACCCCGAUAUCAAACCCCAAUGGAGGAUUGCCUUCAUCAUCAUCAUGGUUAAACGGUCGCAAGCGCCGUAACUUUAUUAUUACCUACCUAUAAUAUCUUAGAUUUAUUGAUGGGAAGUAGGUAGAGGAUAAUGCCGUUGCGAUAAAUAAAUAAGAUAACAUUGUGAAUAUUAUGUAUUAUGAAUUAUGGAGCAUCCGUAGGCCGGUUUAU